CACAUGGUAGUUCUGAGUUUGAUUUUUAAAGGAUCUUGGACUGUUCCCACACCAGCAGCGCCAUCUUACUUUCCCACUGGCUGUGCUCCAGAGUUCCCAGGUCCCCAUCCUCAUCAACGAGUGUCCCAUUCCCACCCAUGUCACCAGAUACAAUUCAUCACAAGCCAUAACUCGGAGGUGGGGACCAGGCAAUGCACAAGGGGCCACAGGCUCCAUGUGAACCACGGGUUGGGUCAAACUUUCCAAGCAGAGUAUUGGAAAGGCCACUGGAGUUGGCAGCUACAGAGUGGAUGCUCCCCGCACGAGUGUGAGGCAUUCCUAGGGAGAAGUAACUGGGUGCACUGUCGACACAGUUCCUUGGACAGCGAGGGCCCGAUUUGUACAGCACCUGACGUAGCCGGCUGGUGGAUAACACCUAAACAGCUUCUGUUUCAGGAAUGGUGCUUAAACGCUACGACAGUGGACAGUCAGGGCAGCCAAGGCCAGGUCAAGUAUGUAUUGUAGAACGAACCACACAGAGGGCUUUGCUUUUGAAGGACAGAACCUGUUAAAUGAGGGCUGAAAACCUGAUCUGAGAACUCCCUUCAACAAUAGAAGGAUCGGGACCAGUGGUGAGGCCCAGGUAAACCAGACUCACAACUGGCUGUGACCAGGCUGCCCCUCACACUGCCCUCCCCACAGCCAUCAGAAACGAGGUGAUUUUCAGAUGAUGGUGGUGGGACAGACUUC
rnacentral:lncRNA from 1 species